UACGUAGGGGGCAAGCGUUGUCCGGAAUCAUUGGGCGUAAAGCGCGUGUAGGCGGCUCGGUAAGUCUGCUGUGAAAGUCCAGGGCUCAACCCUGGGAUGCCGGUGGAUACUGUCGAGCUCGAGUCCGGAAGAGGCGAGUGGAAUUCCUGGUGUAGCGGUGAAAUGCGCAGAUAUCAGGAGGAACACCAAUGGCGAAGGCAGCUCGCUGGGACGCGACUGACGCUCAUGUGCGAAAGCUAGGGGAGCGAACGGG
rnacentral:rRNA from 1 species